UCUAGGACUACUCCACCAUUUUGUAGGUGAAGAAACUCCUGCAAAAAGUCUCUGGAAGAGCAGAUGCUAUGGCAAGGUCAAGUACCAAAGUAUACCCUGGUACCCAGUCCUCCCAGCCAGGGGUAUCCACUUCACGCUGGAAGGACUUGUUUGCGUGAGGAAGCUGAGAUGCAGAGAUUAGAAAGUUGCCCAGUGUCACAUAUUUGGAAAUGCUUCGCCUUCCCACCAGACCGUGUGACAUAAACCAUGGAGCCCUGUCCAAACCUAGAGACCAUCCAACAUCAGCACACCUGUAGGGCGGAGGAGGAUAAAUAAAACAAUGAACUCUGA